GAUGAACGCUGACAGAAUGCUUAACACAUGCAAGUCAACUUGAAUUUGGGUUUUUAACUUAGAUUUGGGUGGCGGACGGGUGAGUAACGCGUAAAGAACUUGCCUCACAGCUAGGGACAACAUUUAGAAAUGAAUGCUAAUACCUGAUAUUAUGAUUUUAAGGCAUCUUAGAAUUAUGAAAGCUAUAAGCACUGUGAGAGAGCUUUGCGUCCCAUUAGCUAGUUGGAGAGGUAACAGCUCACCAAGGCGAUGAUGGGUAGCCGGCCUGAGAGGGUGAACGGCCACAAGGGGACUGAGACACGGCCCUUACUCCUACGGGAGGCAGCAGUAGGGAAUAUUGGACAAUGGACCGAAAGUCUGAUCCAGCAAUUCUGUGUGCACGAUGAAGUUUUUCGGAAUGUAAAGUGCUUUCAGUUGGGAAGAAAGAAAUGACGGUACCAACAGAAGAAGUGACGGCUAAAUACGUGCCAGCAGCCGCGGUAAUACGUAUGUCACGAGCGUUAUCCGGAUUUAUUGGGCGUAAAGCGCGUCUAGGUGGUUAUGUAAGUCUGAUGUGAAAAUGCAGGGCUCAACUCUGUAUUGCGUUGGAAACUGUAUAACUAGAGUACUGGAGAGGUAAGCGGAACUACAAGUGUAGAGGUGAAAUUCGUAGAUAUUUGUAGGAAUGCCGAUGGGGAAGCCAGCUUACUGGACAGAUACUGACGCUAAAGCGCGAAAGCGUGGGUAGCAAACAGG
rnacentral:rRNA from 1 species